rnacentral:rRNA from 1 species
GAUGAACGCUGGCGGCGUGCCUAACACAUGCAAGUCGAGCGGGGUAUACGGAGCAGCUUGCUGCACUGUAGACCUAGCGGCGGACGGGUGAGUGACGCGUGGGUAACCUGCCUUACACAGGGGGAUAACACUGGGAAACCAGUGCUAAUACCGCAUAACAUCAUUUUAUGGCAUCAUGAAAUGAUCAAAGGAGAAAUCCGGUGUAAGAUGGGCCCGCGUCCGAUUAGCUAGUUGGUGAGGUAAUGGCUCACCAAGGCAGCGAUCGGUAGCCGGACUGAGAGGUUGGCCGGCCACAUUGGGACUGAGACACGGCCCAGACUCCUACGGGAGGCAGCAGUGGGGAAUAUUGCGCAAUGGGGGGAACCCUGACGCAGCGACGCCGCGUGAAGGAAGAAGGCCUUCGGGUUGUAAACUUCUUUGAUUGGGGAAGAAAAAUGACGGUACCCAAAGAACAAGCCACGGCUAACUACGUGCCAGCAGCCGCGGUAAUACGUAGGUGGCGAGCGUUAUCCGGAAUUACUGGGUGUAAAGGGCGUGUAGGCGGGGAUGCAAGUCAGAUGUGAAAUUCCGGGGCUCAACCUCGGCACUGCAUCUGAAACUGUGUCUCUUGAGUGCUGGAGAGGAAAGUGGAAUUCCUAGUGUAGCGGUGAAAUGCGUAGAGAUUAGGAGGAACACCAGUGGCGAAGGCGACUUUCUGGACAGCAACUGACGCUGAGGCGCGAG